UCGGGAAUUUUGGGCAAUGGGCGAAAGCCUGACCCAGCAACGCCGCGUGAAGGAUGAAGUUUUUCGGAAUGUAAACUUCGUAAAAAUAGGAAGAAUAAAUGACGGUACUAUUUAUAAGGUCCGGCUAACUACGUGCCAGCAGCCGCGGUAAUACGUAGGGACCAAGCGUUGUUCGGAUUUACUGGGCGUAAAGGGCGCGUAGGCGGCUCUGUAAGUCACUUGUGAAAUCUCUGAGCUUAACUCAGAACGGCCAAGUGAUACUGCAGAGCUAGAGUGUAGAAGGGGCAAUCGGAAUUCUUGGUGUAGCGGUGAAAUGCGUAGAUAUCAAGAGGAACACCUGAGGUGAAGACGGGUUGCUGGUCUAACACUGACGCUGAGGCGCGAAAGCCAGGGGAGCAAACGGGAUUAGAUACCCCCGUAGUCCCUGAGCGGGCUGGCAAGGCGCAU
rnacentral:rRNA from 1 species